GGAGGGCGGGGCUUUCUCGCGAGAAGGGGGCAUUUUCGCCGCUGAUUGGUGUAAUUCUUUUGAUGGAUGGCCUCCGCGAUCCGUAAACGGCUGGGCCGUGGAGUGAGAAGUCCGGCCAAUCGGCUCACACUUCCCGUUAUCUGGCCUCAAAUUCCCCGGCCCCCUUCCACGCCCCUACCUCUAAGCGUCUCUCAUUGGAGAAUUUAACAAAGUGUCUUCAUUCAGUAGGGGGCCAAACUAAAUACUCGGUGCAGCAACCCUCGCCUGGGUCAGGUCAAUCGGCUGCCAGCCGGAUUGGCCGGCGUAUCAUUCCAGAAUGUACUGUUUGUUCUGUGGGGUUUAGGAGUUCUACAGUGGUUCUGCCCCAUCUUUCUAAAAAUACAAUACAGUGUUUCACUAUGUUACCCAGGCUGGUCUUGAACUCCUGGGCUCAAGUGAUCCUCCCACUUUGGCCUCUCAAAGCACUGGGAUUACAGGGUCUUACUCUGUCGCCCAGGCUGGAGUACAGUGGUGUGAUAUCGGCUCACUGCAACCUCUACCUACCUGGUUCAAGUGAUUCUCCUGCCUCAGCCUCCCGAGUAGCUGGGACUACGGGGUCACCAAGGAAGCCAGAGUGGAGGCUGCAGGGAAUAUGGAUUUAAAUGAAUUUUGGCUGUACCAUCAAGCAGUCUGAUCACUGAGGAAAUAUCAAAAGCUUCACCCGAGUGACUCAUCACCCAAAUUCAACAGAGACUUGCCAAAGAAGCUGCUUAUUUCACAGAAGGAUGGUGCUGGCUGAAAGAUACUUCCUUGAAACUGAGAGAUUGCUUCCUUAGACAGGUCUCCUUGAAGAGGUAUUUGAUUUGCAUUUUAAUUGUUGGAGCUAAAAACCUAGCUCAGAACUUCAGUUAUCUGCAUUGUUUCUGUUUGCAUUCUUGCAGUG
rnacentral:lncRNA from 1 species